rnacentral:tRNA from 1 species
GCCUUUUUAGCUCAGUUGGUAGAGCAAUUCAUUCGUAAUGAAUAGGUCUGCGGUUCGAGUCCGCAAAAAGGCU